rnacentral:rRNA from 1 species
GGGCGUAAGCGUGCGCAGGCGGUUUUGUAAGACAGGCGUGAAAUCCCCGGGCUCAACCUGGGAACUGCGCUUGUGACUGCAAGGCUAGAGUACGGCAGAGGGGGGUGGAAUUCCACGUGUAGCAGUGAAAUGCGUAGAGAUGUGGAGGAACACCAAUGGCGAAGGCAGCCCCCUGGGUCGAUACUGACGCUCAUGCACGAAAGCGUGGGUAGCAAACAGGAUUAGAUACCCUGGUAGUCCACGCCCUAAACGAUGUCAACUAGGUGUUGGGUGGGUAAAACCAUUUAGUACCGGAGCUAACGCGUGAAGUUGACCGCCUGGGGAGUACGGCCGCAAGGUUAAAACUCAAAGGAAUUGACGGGGACCCGCACAAGCGGUGGAUGAUGUGGAUUAAUUCGAUGCAACGCGAAAAACCUUACCUACCCUUGACAUGUCCAGAACCCCUGAGAGAUUGGGGGGUGCCCGAAAGGGAGCUGGAACACAGGUGCUGCAUGGCUGUCGUCAGCUCGUGUCGUGAGAUGUUGGGUUAAGUCCCGCAACGAGCGCAACCCUUGUCGUUAAUUGCCAUCAUUUAGUUGGGCACUUUAACGAGACUGCCGGUGACAAACCGGAGGAAGGUGGGGAUGACGUCAAGUCCUCAUGGCCCUUAUGGGUAGGGCUUCACACGUCAUACAAUGGUCGGUACAGAGGGUUGCCAAGCCGCGAGGUGGAGCCAAUCCCAGAAAGCCGAUCGUAGUCCGGAUUGCAGGCCGCAACUCGCCUGCAUGAAGUCGGAAUCGCUAGUAAUCGCGGAUCAGCAUGUCGCGGUGAAUACGUUCCCGGGUCUUGUACACACCG